GAUGAACGCUGGCGGCGUGCCUAAUACAUGCAAGUCGAGCGAAUGGAUUAAGAGCUUGCUCUUAUGAAGUUAGCGGCGGACGGGUGAGUAACACGUGGGUAACCUGCCCAUAAGACUGGGAUAACUCCGGGAAACCGGGGCUAAUACCGGAUAACAUUUUGAACCGCAUGGUUCGAAAUUGAAAGGCGGCUUCGGCUGUCACUUAUGGAUGGACCCGCGUCGCAUUAGCUAGUUGGUGAGGUAACGGCUCACCAAGGCAACGAUGCGUAGCCGACCUGAGAGGGUGAUCGGCCUCACUGGGACUGAGACACGGCCCAGACUCCUACGAGAGGCAGCAGUAGGGAAUCUUCCGCAAUGGACGAAAGUCUGACGGAGCAACGCCGCGUGAGUGAUGAAGGCUUUCGGGUCGUAAAACUCUGUUGUUAGGGAAGAACAAGUGCUAGUUGAAUAAGCUGGCACCUUGACGGUACCUAACCAGAAAGCCACGGCUAACUACGUGCCAGCCGCCGCGGUAA
rnacentral:rRNA from 1 species